rnacentral:lncRNA from 10 species
UUAAAGAUGUUUACUCUUUAUGUUCACUUUUACCUUCUUCCUUUUCAGAUUCAUCAAGAAAGACAGACAUCUGAGAUGUACGAAUAUCCUGUAAGACUGACCCAAAUCCUGCUGGCUUGGAAGAAGCAGCCUGCUCAAUAUCUGCAUAGAUCUCUAUUGCAAUGAAAAUUAUCAAGGGUGUCAUCGUUCCUUUACUAAAGAUCUUCUUUGCCAUUGUAUACUUAUCUAUUAUACUCUACCACAUCCACACCAAACGGGUGCACAUUUGAAAAUUGAACGGAAAUCGCCUGCCCUAGCAUGUGCAGCUCUCGUUUUAUUGGUUGGUAUACGCAAUGCUUAAGGCUUUAUGUAGCUCUCCUUUGAGACAUGUUAUCACAACAUUUAAUAAACUGGCGGUUGAUUCAUACUCCAGACUGCAUUCUAAAGAAUCUCAAAGUCCGUUCAAAAUGUUGUGAACAAGCAACAAAGUAUUUUUUUGGUAAGUUUUUAACAUUUUGUGAUAGUUAUAAACUGCUUUGUCAUUAAUAUCCAUCAAACUAAAGACAUUUGGCUGAAAAUGAAGAAAAGAUUUAUGAAAUUUAGCUUCAAUUCUAUUCAUGAGACUGAAAUAAAUGUAGGAAUAUGAAAAAGACUAAUGUCUCUAUGUUAAAGAAAUCGAUUUCCAGGGUGCCAAGUGGAAAAGUGUAAUUGAAAUUGACCCAUUAAAUGAUUACAUUAUUUGUGUACCAAAUCUAAUAUAUUUCAUAAAACUAUAGAGCUGUUUCAGUAACUACCUGCCAAACUGUAUAUAUUGUUCCUAAUUAAAUUUUAUAAAUGUACUUCUAGAAAUGUGGGGUUGCAGAAUUAUCCAAGUUAUAUGUCUCUACAUUUAUGAAUCCUGUUCCAGAGAAUUAAGACAAGGCAGUGCAUUUCUAAUCUCAUGACUAUUUCAUGACUUGUGAAAGCUAUAAUAAACAAGAUGACAAAAUAAAUAUUCAAGGGAAGGUUCCAAGUUAAAUUUCUGAAAUAUACUUGGAAAUACACCUAUUUCUUUCUUAUUUUACCCUGAUUAAUCACACUGUAGUAAGCACCUGACCUUUACAAACACAUUUAAAGUCUACUCUUUGAGUACCUACUAAGGUAUGGUAAAAUGCCAGGUGCAUACAUUUUCAAACAACUUUUCCUUUAACCUUGGCCACUUCUAGGUAUAACAGUUGUCAUUAUUCCUGUUUGUUCAGUGACAGGUGAUGGGCAACUUGUUUAUAGUACAAACAUUUAAUUUUUUGGUUGCUUUAAAUCUCCCCCCUUUUAUUAUUAGACUGUGAGUUUCUGAAGGGCAGGAAUAGUGCCCUAUUCAUUUUUGUAUUGAAAGAAUAAAAGAAAAAAUGUAUUGUUUUGCAAAUAACUUAAAGGUGUGUUCCCCCUUUGAUUUUGUUUUGUUUACAUUUAAUUUUCACUGAAAACAACCAAAAGACUCCAAGAUAAUUAUUUUAUUAGGAUAUAGUUGACAAAAUAUUUGUAUAUAUUUAGUUUCAUAAUGUGAUGUUUUGAUAUGUGUACACAUUGUGAAAUGCUUAAAUAAAGCUAAUUAACAUGCAUCACCUCUCAUACUUAUUUUUUGUCAUGAGAUCAUUUAAGAUCUCAGCAAUUUUCAAGUAUAUAAUAUAUGAUUAUUAGCUAUAGUCACCAUAUUGUACAAUAGAUAUCUUGAACUUAUUUCUCCUGUCUAACUGAAAUUUUUAUCCUGAUCACGCUGUCUCCCCCACUCUCUCCCCAGCGUGUAUACA